GCCUGCUGUUUAAUCCAUAUCACGCAACUUUGAUGCGCACCCUUUAUCGCAUACCCUUUAUCACACCCCUCCUUUUUUUUUAACAUGAAGUCAGUUUUUAUUUAUGUAAGCUUAAGAAAAAUUUUCCUCAAAAUAGGUCCAAUAGAACGGUCAUUCGAGAGUGACGUAAUUUAUUGAAUGACGUCAUUGUUUGGUUUGUGACGUAACGAACGUCAAGUUU
rnacentral:lncRNA from 1 species